GAUGAACGCUAGCGGCAGGCCUAAUACAUGCAAGUCGAACGGAUAUAUGUUUUUCGGAAUAUAUAUUAGUGGCGCACGGGUGAGUAACACGUACAUAACUUGCCCUCAAGCGGGGAUAGCCUUGGGAAACUGAGAGUAAUACCCCAUAGAAUUAUUGGACGGCAUCGUUUGAUAAUUAAAACUACGGUGCUUGGGGAUAGAUGUGCGUCUGAUUAGCUAGUUGGUGAGGUAACUGCUCACCAAGGCGACGAUCAGUAGGGGGCGUGAGAGCGUGGCCCCCCACACGGGUACUGAGACACGGACCCGACUCCUACGGGAGGCAGCAGUAAGGAAUAUUGGUCAAUGGAGGGAACUCUGAACCAGCCAUGCCGCGUGAAGGAUGACGGCCCUCUGGGUUGUAAACUUCUUUUGGAUGGGGCGAAAAAACGGGAUUUAUCCUGGACUGACGGUACCAUCAGAAUAAGCACCGGCUAACUCCGUG
rnacentral:rRNA from 1 species